rnacentral:rRNA from 1 species
UACGUAGGGGGGCAAGCGUUGUCCGGAUUCAUUGGGCGUAAAGAGCGUGUAGGCGGCCAGGUAGGUCGGUUGUGAAAACUGGAGGCUCAACCUUCAGACGUCGAUCGAAACCAUCUGGCUAGAGUCCGGGAGAGGAGAGUGGAAUUCCUGGUGUAGCGGUGAAAUGCGCAGAUAUCAGGAAGAACACCCGUGGCGAAAGCGGCUCUCUGGAACGGUACUGACGCUGAGACGCGAAAGCGUGGGGAGCGAAGCAGG